rnacentral:rRNA from 1 species
UACGUAGGGUGCAAGCGUUGUCCGGAAUUAUUGGGCGUAAAGAGCUCGUAGGCGGUCUGUCGCGUCGGCUGUGAAAACCCGGGGCUCAACCCCGGGCCUGCAGUCGAUACGGGCAGACCAGAGUGUGGUAGGGGAGACUGGAAUUCCUGGUGUAGCGGUGAAAUGCGUAGAUAUCUGGAGGAAUACCGGUGGCGAAGGCGGCAUCCUGGACCAUUACUGACACUGAUCCGCGAAAGCUAGGGGAGCAAACGGG